rnacentral:sRNA from 1 species
AAUUUCCAUAACUAUGAUAAUUUGAGACACUUUGCAAAAAAACUUGAUCCUCGAAGAGAAGGUGGUGAUCAAAGGCUUGGACCUUUCUUCACUCAAGUGCACUAAUAAAUUAUGUAUGUUGCUUGAACAACUAGCAUUCCUUUGGACCAUUGGACUAUGAAAGUCUCCAACAAGAACUUGCUUUAAAAGAGACAGUGUGGAAAAAAGUGUCACCUGAGUCAAAUGAGGACAUCUCUACAACUGUAGUAUAUAGAAUGGAAAGUCUGGGAGAGAAAAGCUAAAGAAAUGGGUUCUAGUUUCAGAAUGUUUCUUCAUUUAAUCUUUCAAACAUCUUUAGCUUUUUUUUGCAAGUUAUAAAUAUUUAUUUGAGGUAUUUUUUGUUCUCAAUCUUGGGUGCUGGAGCCAUAAAGCUUUUUUUUCCUUUUAAUCUUUGUAUAAAGGCAGUAGAUUAAGAAGUGCAUUUGUUGGUCUUUAAAAAGUAUUUACAAGUACAUAAAUUUGCUUUAUUUUUAAAAAUACAGAAA